rnacentral:rRNA from 1 species
UACGUAGGGUGCAAGCGUUGUCCGGAAUUAUUGGGCGUAAAGAGCUCGUAGGUGGUCUGUCGCGUCGGCUGUGAAAACUCGGGGCUCAACCCCGAGCCUGCAGUCGAUACGGGCAGACUCGAGUGCGGUAGGGGAGACUGGAAUUCCUGGUGUAGCGGUGAAAUGCGCAGAUAUCAGGAGGAACACCGAUGGCGAAGGCAGGUCUCUGGGCAUUAACUGACGCUGAGGAGCGAAAGCAUGGGGAGCGAACAGG